rnacentral:rRNA from 1 species
AGCGAACGCUGGCGGCAGGCUUAACACAUGCAAGUCGAGCGGGCAUCCUUGUGGUGUCAGCGGCAGACGGGUGAGUAACGCGUGGGAACGUGCCCUUCGGUUCGGAAUAACUCAGGGAAACUUGAGCUAAUACCGGAUACGUGCGAGAGCAGAAAGGUUUAUCUGCCGAAGGAUCGGCCCGCGUCUGAUUAGCUAGUUGGUGAGGUUAUGGCUCACCAAGGCGACGAUCAGUAGCUGGUCUGAGAGGAUGAUCAGCCACACUGGGACUGAGACACGGCCCAGACUCCUACGGGAGGCAGCAGUGGGGAAUAUUGGACAAUGGGGGCAACCCUGAGCCAGCCAUGCCGCGUGAGUGAUGACGGCCUUAGGGUUGUAAAGCUCUUUUCUCCGGGACGAUAAUGACGGUACCGGAGGAAUAAGCCCCGGCUAACUUCGUG